rnacentral:rRNA from 1 species
CACGUAGGGGACGAGCGUUGUCCGGAAUCAUUGGGCGUAAAGCGCGCGUAGGCGGCCCGGAAAGUCGGAUGUGAAAUCCCGGGGCUCAACCCCGGGCCUGCAUCCGAUACUCCCGGGCUGGAGGCAGGUAGGGGAGAUCGGAAUUCCUGGUGUAGCGGUGAAAUGCGCAGAUAUCAGGAGGAACACCGGUGGCGAAGGCGGCUCACUGGACCGGUACUGACGCUGAUGCGCGAAAGCGUGGGGAGCAAACGGG